UUUAAAAUAAAAAAACAGAAAAUCGUAAUUGAGAAUAAGGACUUCCUGCUGCUGUAAUGCAGUGCUGGAGAAAGAGAGAGAGAGAGAGAGAGAGAGAGAGAGAGAGAGAGAGAGAGAGAGAGAGAGAGAAUCGGGGGAUGGGUUGUGGCGCAGUUUAGAAUAAAUCGAAAGUAAGGUGUAUUUCCUCCUUUAGAAGAGGAGAGAAGAUCUACAGAGGUUCGAAUUAUCUCGGAGAUCUUGGCAGCAUCUUGAGUAUCCUCCUUCAUGAUGGAGCCUCAUCACUCCAUAUCUCGGAGUGAAUCUCCUGUCAUAAAUGAUGAAGGAGAACGCCCACUACGUAACCCUCUGCUUAGACACGCAUCAGAACCCGUUUACAGUACUCUAGGAUUUGAUUUUACUGGAAGUUGCACUGCUCCACAGGUCAGUGCUGGGGGUAGGAGUCGUGUUAUAUUCCUGCAGCCCACAGACGGCAUUAGGAAUGGUGCAGUAUACUCACGUUUAUCUGCUCCAUGGGGCUGCGUGACUCUGAAGACCACAUCCCUUCAAGCUCUACAGCCUACUUUUAGUACUGGAGGAGAAAAUCCAGAGCACAGCAACAGCUGUCAGAAAAACCAUCAACCCCCUAACAUCCGUACUGCAGGAGAACAUCCAGAGCACAGCUAUUGGAACGAAUCCCCAGACCUUCAAAUCCCUAAUUUCUGUACUGGAGAAAAACAUGCAGAACUCAGCGAUUCGGACGCAUCCCCAGACUUUUCCUGCCCUAACUUCCGUACAGGAGUGAAACAUGCAGAACUUAGCUAUGAGAAAAAAUACACAAACUUUCUACACUCUUACUUCUGUACUGGAGAAAAACAUGCAGAUCUCAGCGAUUCGGACACAUCCCCAGACUUUUCCCGUCCUAACUUCCGUACUGGAAAGAAACAUGCAGAACUUAGCUAUCAGAAAAAAUCCAGAUACUUUCUACACCCUUACUUCCGUACUGGAGAAAAACAUGCAAAUCUCAGCAAAUUGAAAACAUCCCCAGACUUUCCUCGCCCUAACUUCUGUACUGGAAAUAGCAUGAUCUUAAGCUAUAAACUCCUUGCCUUCAGUGCUGGAGAAACGACAAAGGCAGAAAAGGCAGAUGUGAGCAAUCAGGCACAGAAAGAGUAACUGAUCGAAUUUUGUAUAUUUUAAUUGCUGCCAUUUGGUAUUGUUGAUAAUGUUGUUAUCAUAUUACUAUUAAGCACUGUUAACCAUGAUUGUAUGUGACUUUUUAUUAAUAACAUAUAAAGGCAAGGAAAGGCAAGUUUAUUUGAAUUGCACCUUUCAUACAAAAUGGUUAUUCAAAGUGCUUUAGAAAUGAGAAAAUACAAAGAGGAGUCAAAAUAUAAAAACAUGUAACAAUAAAAAUGGAAAUAAAAGAAUACCA
rnacentral:lncRNA from 1 species